AGAGCGAACGCUGGCGGCAUGCUUAACACAUGCAAGUCGCACGGUUCGGGGGCAACCCCGGGCAGUGGCGGACGGGUGAGGAACGCGUAGGAAUCUGUCCCGGAAUGGGGGAUAACCGUGGGAAACUACGGCUAAUACCGCAUACGUCUCCGAGGGGCAUCCCUUGGCGAUAAAAGGAGCAAUCCGCUCGAUGACGGGACCGCGUCCCAUUAGCUAGAUGGUGGGGUAACGGCCUACCAUGGCACCGAUGGGUAGCUGGUUUGAGAGAGCGACCAGCCACACUGGGACUGAGAAACGGCCCAGACUCCUACGGGAGGCAGCAGUGAGGAAUUUUCCGCAAUGGGCGCAAGCCUGACGGAGCGACGCCGCGUGUGGGAAGAAGGCCUUCGGGUCGUAAACCACUGUCGAAGGGGACGAUAAUGACGGUACCCUUGGAGGAAGCCCCGGCUAACUACGUGCCAGCAGCCGC
rnacentral:rRNA from 1 species